rnacentral:lncRNA from 1 species
CACCAAGAGGUUCAGUAUUCCAUUCUACUGGAAUGCCACUACAUGCUGCUAGGCGUCACUGGUGGAUUGUGAGACUCAUGAGAAUUAUCUAGAUGAUUGAUAAUUCUCAUUGGGCUGAGUUGGAGUUGUUCUAAUCCAUUGAAAGGAGUUUCAGUGAUAUUGUUGAUAGUGAUCAAAAUAUAUCUCAUUACCAGAUAGAAUAGAACCUAUGGGGUCACACACAUAAGAGGUUGUGAUUGAUUGGAUAGCUAGAUCGUGAUUAUUGAAUCGCCGGAAGACCUAAUUGUCAAUAUGUUGAUAAUUGGACUAAUUUGUAAUUGUUACAAAUUAUUGGUAUUAAAGUAUAAAUGUUACUAGAGAGGACUUACUAAUAGUUAGUAAAUUAUAAGAGGACUUAUGUGCAAAUGUUGCAUUAUUAAUUUGAUAAGAUCAAAUUAAUAUAAAAUUCAAGUCGAAUCAAAUUAGGAUUUGAUCGAUCUAACCAAUUAAGGAAAGGAUAAAUUUAAUCUAGAUUUAUACUUAUCCUUAAUUGUCAUUAUAUUAUUAGGAAUAGGAUUAUAUUCCUAUAUAUAAGAAGAGAAGAUGGAGAUGAUCUCCUCCAAUGCUUACUUCUCCUUCUUCUCCUUCCUCUUCUUCUUCUCUUCUUUCUCUUCUUCUCUUUUCGUCUAGAGAGAGAGAGAGAGAUGAAUCGGUGAGCGGGGG